CUGGAAACGGUAGCUAAUACCGCAUAACGUCGCAAGACCAAAGAGGGGGACCUUCGGGCCUCUUGCCAUCAGAUGUGCCCAGAUGGGAUUAGCUAGUAGGUGGGGUAAUGGCUCACCUAGGCGACGAUCCCUAGCUGGUCUGAGAGGAUGACCAGCCACACUGGAACUGAGACACGGUCCAGACUCCUACGGGAGGCAGCAGUGGGGAAUAUUGCACAAUG
rnacentral:rRNA from 1 species